AGUGUCCUCAGCCAUCUCUCC
rnacentral:tRNA from 1 species